GACGAACGCUGGCGGUGUGCUUAACACAUGCAAGUCGAACGGUAAGGCCCUUUCGGGGGUACACGAGUGGCGAACGGGUGCGUAACUCGUGAGUAACCUGCCCUCAUCUCUGGGAUAACAGUCGGAAACGGUUGCUAAUACUGGAUAUGAGCUUGCAAGGCAUCUUGUGGGUUGGAAAGAUUUUUUUUGGUUGGGGAUGGACUCGCGGCCUAUCAGCUUGUUGGUGAGGUAGUGGCUCACCAAGGCUUCGACGGGUAGCCGGCCUGAGAGGGCGACCGGCCACAUUGGGACUGAGAUACGGCCCAAACUCCUACGGGAGGCAGCAGUGGGGAAUAUUGCACAAUGGACGGAAGUCUGAUGCAGCAACGCCGCGUGCGGGAUGACGGCCUUCGGGUUGUAAACCGCUUUCAAUUGUGACGAAGCUUUUUUGUGACGGUAGCAGUAGAAGAAGCACCGGCUAACUACGUG
rnacentral:rRNA from 1 species